rnacentral:Y_RNA from 1 species
AGCUGGUUCAAGUGGAGUGGUGUUUACAACUAAUUGAUCACAACCGGUUAUAGAUUCCUUUGUUCCUUGUCCACUCCCACUGCUUGACUUAACUAGCAAAAA